UAGUGACCGAUAGCGCAUAGUACUGUGAAGGAAAGGUGAAAAGGACCCCGGGAGGGGAGUGAAAAAGAACCUGAAACCCUGUGUUUACAAGCUGUGGAACCACAUUUUAGGUGGAACCGCGUACUUUUUGUAGAACGGUCCGGCGAGUUGCCGGGACUGGCAAGGUUAAGCACUCAAGGUGUGGAGCCGAAGGGAAACCAAGUCUUAAUAGGGCGAAUAAGUCAGUUCAGGCAGACCCGAAACCGGGUGAUCUACCCAUGUCCAGGUUGAAGUUUCCGUAAAAGGAAAUGGAGGACCGAACGCACAUCCGUUGAAAAGGGUGGCGAUGAGGUGUGGGUAGGGGAGAAAUUCCAAUCGAACCCGGAGAUAGCUGGUUCUCCUCGAAAUAGCUUUAGGGCUAGCCUCGUAUUAGUUUAGCGGAGGUAGAGCACUGAAUUCUUAAGGGGGCGUCAAAGCUUACCAAGAGAUAUCAAACUCCGAAUGCCGCAUAAAUGAUGUACGGGAGUCAGACUGCACGAGAUAAGUUGGGUAGUCAAAAGGGAAAGAGCCCAGACCUACAGCUAAGGUCCCAAAGUGUGUGUUAAGUGGAAAAGGAUGUGGGAUUUCAAAGACAACUAGGAUGUUGGCUCAGAAGCAGCCACACAUUCAAAGAGUGCGUAAUAGCUCACUAGUCGAGAGGUCCUGCGCCGAAAAUGUCCGGGGCUGAAACACAACACCGAAGCUUAGGAAUUGACGUAAGUCAAUUGGUAGAGGAGCAUUCUUAACUGCGAAGAAGCGUUACCGUAAGGAGGCGUGGAGUGUUAAGAAGAGAGAAUGCCGGAAUGAGUAGCGAGAUGGAGGUGGGAAUCCUCCAGGCCGAAUAUCUAAGGUUUCCAGAGUAAAGCUGAUCUGCUCUGGGUAAGUCGGGGCCUAAGGCGAGGUCGAAAGACGUAGUCGAUGGACAACAGGUUGAAAUUCCUGUACCGCGUAUUAUCAGAACUGUGGGGACACAGAACCGAAGCCAAACCCGGGAAUGAAAAGACCGGGGCAAGCGCCGGACUGGUUAGACUGGAAAAUCCGUCUAGCAACAGGAAAGCGUGAUGCGUACCGAACAAAAGUAGGGAAGUUGGUAUAGGGGCUGUCAAGAAAAGCCGCUAUUGUGUAAUACGUGCCCGUACCGUAAACCGACACAGGUGGAUGAGGAGAGAAUCCUAAGGCCGGCGGGAGAAGCAUUGUUAAGGAACUCGGCAAAAUGACCCCGUAACUUCGGGAGAAGGGGUGCUCCAGAGAUGGAGCCGCAGAGAACUGGCCCAAGCAACUGUUUAGCAAAAACACAGGUCUAUGCAAAACCGAAAGGUGAGGUAUAUGGGCUGACGCCUGCCCGGUGCUGGAAGGUUAAGGGGAGAGGUUAGUCGUAAGGCGAAGCUUUGAACUUAAGCCCCAGUAAACGGCGGCCGUAACUAUAACGGUCCUAAGGUAGCGAAAUUCCUUGUCGGGUAAGUUCCGACCCGCACGAAA
rnacentral:rRNA from 1 species